rnacentral:lncRNA from 1 species
GACUAAACCAUAUUCUAAUUAAUAGCAGUUGUCUUCCCAAAAGACAAAUUCACAGUGAUAGUACAUAUCCCCUUCAUUUGAUUUGUCUAGACUUUUCUUUUUCACAGUAUUUCCUCGGUUAAUCUCAUUGAUGGACUCGUUUCGGUCUGCGGGAACAACAUCCUUUCAUUUUCAGUCCUAAUCCCUUUGCUCCCAGGUAUGACUCAUUUCUUAGUUCCAAAGCUUCUUCAGUCAUUCUCUCUUCCCUCCCCAGGGGCUUUUAUGCAGAAGACGGCGUAUGUGAACGCUGCCACUCGCCUUGCAGAACGUGUGAAGGAAAAGCCACCAGCUGCCGCUCCUGCGAAGGCAGCCUCGUCCUGGACCAGGGAGUGUGCCAGGAAGUCUGCUCAGAGAGGCACGUGGCCGUGGACGGGGUGUGCGAGCACUGCCCGGAGAUGUGUCAGGACUGCCUCCAUGAGAAAACAUGCAAAGAGUGCAUGCCUGACUUCUUCCUGUACAACGACGCGUGCCACCAGGCCUGCCCCCGCAGCUUCUACGCCGACUCGGGCCAGUGCGUCGCCUGCCACGCAGACUGCCUGGAGUGCCGGGGCCCCGAGGCGGAGGACUGCGCGCUCUGCGCGGACGCGGACGCCGUGCUCCACGACGGGCUGUGCUUGGACGAGUGUCCUGACGGAACUUACUUUGCAAAGGAGACUAACGAUUGCAAAGAUUGCCACCAGACCUGCCACACCUGCUCGGCGCCCGGGGCCUGCAGCACCUGUCCAGAAGGCACGAGGGUGAGCAGCCAUGGGAACUGCGUGCCUUACGGGGAGUGCGCCGGCUCCGAGUACUGGGACGUGGAGGCUCACGAGUGCCAGCCCUGUCACACCAAGUGCUCACACUGCUCGGGACCGGCCGAGGACCAGUGCCACAGCUGCCCCGGGGACAGCCUUCUCCUCAGUGAGUUCCAGUUCCUCCCAGCGGAGGCGGGGUUUCUUUUCCAUUCU